rnacentral:lncRNA from 10 species
GCACUGCAGUCUGCCUUUGGUCGUGCCAAGAAGUUGCGUACUAAUAAACACUUUGUUAUCUCUAAAGGAAGGCAUUUCUGGUUAUCAAGUCUCAUUCAGUUGGCUUUUGUCUUGAUUCCUUGAAAUACAUUUUGAGAUAUGUUUCAAGUUUGGUGAAUAGACAGAUGCUCAGUGUGUAAUGAGUUGUCACAGCAGACGGCUGUCCUAAGUUAUGUUAUUCCUCUUUCCCCACUUUGCUUGCUCUUUACUUCUGAUUACAUCAAGGAAAGUGUCUUCGUUUGGUGCUAGUCUGUGAUAUUCAUCCAUUUCAGUAAAGAAAGAGUAAGCCUUAGGCUUAGGUCUUCUGCAGGCAAUAUCUGGC